rnacentral:rRNA from 1 species
CGGGGUGAGUAACGCGUGGGUAACCUGCCUCAUACAGGGGGAUAACAGUUAGAAAUGACUGCUAAUACCGCAUAAGCGCACAGUGCCGCAUGGCACAGUGUGAAAAACUCCGGUGGUAUGAGAUGGACCCGCGUCUGAUUAGCUAGUUGGUGGGGUAACGGCCUACCAAGGCGACGAUCAGUAGCCGGCCUGAGAGGGUGAACGGCCACAUUGGGACUGAGACACGGCCCAA